rnacentral:rRNA from 1 species
CAGUAGCCGCGGUAAUACGGAGGGUGCAAGCGUUAAUCGGAAUUACUGGGCGUAAAGCGCACGCAGGCGGUCUGUCAAGUCAGAUGUGAAAUCCCCGGGCUUAACCUGGGAACUGCAUUUGAAACUGGCAGGCUAGAGUCUUGUAGAGGGGGGUAGAAUUCCAGGUGUAGCGGUGAAAUGCGUAGAGAUCUGGAGGAAUACCGGUGGCGAAGGCGGCCCCCUGGACAAAGACUGACGCUCAGGUGCGAAAGCGUGGGGAGCAAACAGGAUUAGAGACCCCUGUAGUCCCUGUCUCUUAUAA